GUCUAUGGCCAUACCACCCUGAAUACACCCAAUCUCAUCUGAACCCAGAAGUCAAGCAGGGUUGGGCCUGGUUAGUACUUGGAUGGGAGACCACCUGGGAAUACCAGGUGCUGUAGGCG
ensembl:rRNA 5S_rRNA 5S ribosomal RNA